rnacentral:rRNA from 1 species
UACGUAGGGGGCAAGCGUUUGUCCGGAAUCAUUGGGCGUAAAGCGCGUGUAGGCGGCCCGGUAAGUCCGCUGUGAAAGUCGGGGGGCUCAACCCUCGAAUGCCGGUGGAUACUGUCGGGCUAGAGUGCGGGAGAGGCGAGUGGAAUUCCUGGUGUAGCGGUGAAAUGCGCAGAUAUCAGGAGGAACACCAAUUGCGAAGGCAGCUCGCUGGAACGUAACUGACGCUGAGACGCGAAAGCGUGGGGAGCAAACAGG